GAGUCAUUUUCCAUUUUGUUGAGUCUAGUUUUCAGUUCGUCAGAGUUGUUUUUGUUUUGUUGAGUCCUGUUUUCGGUUUAGGGUCAUUGUUUUUAGUUUCAUGUUGAGAGUCCAGUUGUUUGUAGUACUUUAUCAUUUCACACAUGAUGUACUCGUUGGUUCAUUUAGUGAUAUGAUAUUUUAUCUGAGUAUUGUGGCAUUUUUCUCGUAAGUGUGCUUUACAUAUCUUGUGAUUGAUGCGUGUUAUGCUUUCGAUGUGAUACAUUUUCACUUACAUCACGAUCACUUUGGCCUGACCUAUCAUGGAGGAUAUUGAGUCUAUUGACCUAGGAUCAGGAGAUCGACCUAGGGAGUUCGAGACUGUGACUCAUCUCACCUUCUGAUUAGAGCAGUACCAUACCCAUAUCCACACGUUGACUCUGUGGACUUGAUGACUUACCCAUUUUGAGCCUGACAUGACACCACCCUUUGGUACUACCGUACGACUUUACCAUCCAUUGUUCACCUUAGCAUAUUACAGUACCAUUGUCUAUCAUUUCCAUCAUUUCAUGGAUCUGACCAGGUAGAGUCCGAGAUGGUUAGACCCGAGGUGAGCUUUGCAUGAUGAUAGAUGGAUCGUGAUGAGAGAGUGGCUUGACUGCUUGAUGAUGUUAUUGAGGCAGAUGGAUCGUCAUGGAGCAUCCAGAUUUGAGUCAUUACACAUGACUUCGGAGAGUCGGGAUGAUUAGAGAUGAUGAUUUUUAUGGGAUGAUGACGAGUUGGAUUAUGAUGAUAGAGUGAGUUGAUUUUCAGAGGACAUUGACGGUUAUCACAGAGCAUCAGUGAGGGCUUUCACACGAUUUCAGAGGAGUCGCCAUGACCUUGUUGGACGGAUGCCAGUCUUUAGUAUUGGCCAUGUGAGAUCUCGAAAGCACGAUGUUCGAGGCUUUGGUCAAAGGAUGAGUGGCCAUUAUUUCAUGAGCCUAUUUACUUUAUCACCCUCACAUAUAGAGUUACCCGUUGCUAGCCCUUUGAGCCUCACACGAGCACAUAGCCUUUUCUUUCAUCACCUCAUUUACCUAUUACACUCGGUUGGGGACCCUGUAGUGCUUGCAUGCUACGUUUGGAUACGUCAUGAGUUUCAGACCUGACAUACAUAUUCGAGUCUCAUUCUUCACUCUUCAUUGUGAUAUUUUCGACUUGGACAUCAUUUCAUCACUAUUUUUCGAUGUCACGUAUCACCACUUGUGAUAUUCGUUCUCUGCUUUUUCUUUCAUCAUUGCUUACUCGACAUUAUCCGUAUUUCAUCAUUGAGUGGUGGUUUUUCACACGUCACUGCAUGGAGGAUUGUCACGUUCCUCCCCCGUUCGCCUUAUGGGCAGUGGUCCAGAGAUCUUAUUUGAGAGGUUGUCUUGUUAGUGAGGAUUCAUGUUACAUCAGUACAUGGGGAGAGUUUAUUCAUUUAGCUAUGUAUUUCAUGGGAUAUCAUUCACUAUUGAUC
rnacentral:lncRNA from 1 species